rnacentral:rRNA from 1 species
GACGAACGCUGGCGGCGUGCUUAACACAUGCAAGUCGAACGGAAAGGCUCCAGCUUGCUGGAGUACUCGAGUGGCGAACGGGUGAGUAACACGUGGGUAAUCUGCCCUGCACUCUGGGAUAAGCCUGGGAAACUGGGUCUAAUACCGGAUAUGACCUUUCUCCUUAUGGGGUUUGGUGGAAAGUUUUUCGGUGUAGGAUGAGCCCGCGGCCUAUCAGCUUGUUGGUGGGGUGAUGGCCUACCAAGGCGACGACGGGUAGCCGGCCUGAGAGGGUGAUCGGCCACAUUGGGACUGAGAUACGGCCCAGACUCCUACGGGAGGCAGCAGUGGGGAAUAUUGCACAAUGGGCGGAAGCCUGAUGCAGCGACGCCGCGUGAGGGAUGACGGCCUUCGGGUUGUAAACCUCUUUCAGCAGGGACGAAGCGUAAGUGACGGUACCUGCAGAAGAAGCACCGGCUAACUAUGUG